rnacentral:lncRNA from 1 species
GGGAGAUAGGGUACAGAGAGGGCAGCCACCUCGAAAGAGAAGAUAGCCCUCUCCAAGCUGCUUCAAUCCUCAACUCAGCCAGCCUAUUGCCAGCCAGUCUUCAUCUGGAGCCCAAGGUACACAGGAAAAGAGGCUUCCAGAGGCCACCACCUGCUUCCGCCUGCAGCCCCUUCCUCCAUCUGCACAGCCAGCCACGCUGCAUCUCC